UACAGAGGUCUCAAGCGUUGUUCGGAUUCAUUGGGCGUAAAGGGUGCGUAGGUGGCAGGGUAAGUUUGAUGUGAAAUCUCCGGGCUUAACCCGGAAACUGCAUUGAAUACUAUCCUGCUUGAGGGUUGGAGGGGGGACUGGAAUUCUCGGUGUAGCAGUGAAAUGCGUAGAUAUCGAGAGGAACACCAGUGGCGAAGGCGAGUCCCUGGACAACUCCUGACACUGAGGCACGAAAGCUAGGGGAGCAAACAGG
rnacentral:rRNA from 1 species